UACGUAGGGGGCCAGCGUUGUCCGGAAUCAUUGGGCGUAAAGCGCGCGUAGGCGGCCAGAUAAGUCCGGUGUGAAAGUCAAAGGCUCAACCUUUGAAUGCCGCUGGAAACUGCCUGGCUUGAGUCCGGAAGGGGCGAGUGGAAUUCCUGGUGUAGCGGUGAAAUGCGCAGAUAUCAGGAGGAACACCAAUGGCGAAGGCAGCUCGCUGGGACGGUACUGACGCUGAGACGCGAAAGCGUGGGGAGCAAACAGG
rnacentral:rRNA from 1 species